GGGAAGGGCAGGCCCUGGGGAAGGGCUGGAUUCUGGGCUGAUAUCUGCUGGCUUCGCCUCCUCUCCCCUCCACAGGCCUUCUCCUCUCCUUGCCAACUCUGAGGUGCUCCCAGGAGGCCUGAGGUCCCUAUACCUUUUCAUCACAUGCUUCU